rnacentral:misc_RNA from 1 species
UGGACUACUGGGGUAUCUAAUCCUGUUUGCUCCCCACGCUUUCGAGCCUCAGCGUCAGUUACAGACCAGAGAGCCGCCUUCGCCACUGGUGUUCCUCCAUAUAUCUACGCAUUUCACCGCUACACAUGGAAUUCCACUCUCCUCUUCUGCACUCAAGUCUCCCAGUUUCCAAUGACCCUCCCCGGUUGAGCCGGGGGCUUUCACAUCAGACUUAAGAAACCGCCUGCGCUCGCUUUACGCCCAAUAAAUCCGGACAACGCUUGCCACCUACGUAUUACCGCGGCUGCUGGCACGUAGUUAGCCGUGGCUUUCUGGUUAGAUACCGUCAGGGGACGUUCAGUUACUAACGUCCUUGUUCUUCUCUAACAACAGAGUUUUACGAUCCGAAAACCUUCUUCAC